rnacentral:lncRNA from 1 species
CAGCCUCCUGAGUAGCUGGGAUUACAGGCAUGCCCCACCAUGCCUGGCUAAUUUUGUAUUUUUAGUAGAGACAGGGUUUCUCCAUGCUGGUCAGGCUGGCCUCGAACGCCCGGCCUCAGGUGAUCUGCCUGCCUCGGCCUCCCAAAGUGCUGGGAUUAUAGUGUGAGCCACCAUGCCCGGCCUGUAGCAAACAUUUAAAACUGAUCUCUGUGUAUUUAGUCUUGCUCUACUUCAGGACAUUCUCAAUACUGCAGCAAAAGUUAUUCUAAAAUGCAAAUCUCAUUUUGGCAGGGAUGCUGCUAAAUAUCCUACAGUGCACAGAACGGCCACCAACGACCAAGAAUUAUCCAGUCCAAAAUGUCAGUAAAGCUGAGGUUAAGAAAUCCUGUUCCAGAAUAUCACAUUUUUUGGAUGCUGUGGUACCUGGAGUGAUGCCAGACUGCAGAGGCCACCUGGUGACAUGAGGAGAGAUUCAACUUAACAUGGUGAGGAUGGCAGAGUAGAGCUAAAGUGGAAAA